rnacentral:rRNA from 1 species
AACGAACGCUGGCGGCAGGCUUAACACAUGCAAGUCGAGCGCCCCGCAAGGGGAGCGGCAGACGGGUGAGUAACGCGUGGGAAUCUAUCCAUCACUACGGAACAACUCCGGGAAACUGGAGCUAAUACCGUAUACGUCCUUCGGGAGAAAGAUUUAUCGGUGAUGGAUGAGCCCGCGUUGGAUUAGCUAGUUGGUGGGGUAAUGGCCUACCAAGGCGACGAUCCAUAGCUGGUCUGAGAGGAUGAUCAGCCACACUGGGACUGAGACACGGCCCAGACUCCUACGGGAGGCAGCAGUGGGGAAUAUUGGACAAUGGGCGAAAGCCUGAUCCAGCCAUGCCGCGUGAGUGAUGACGGCCCUAGGGUUGUAAAGCUCUUUCGCAGGUGAAGAUAAUGACGGUAACCUGAGAAGAAGCCCCGGCUAACUUCGUGCCAGCCGCCGCCGUAAGAC